rnacentral:rRNA from 1 species
GAGCUCAAAUUUGUAAUCUGGCGUCUUUCAGGCGUCCGAGUUGUAAUCUAUAGAAGUGUUUUCUAUGCCGGACCGUGUCUAAGUCCCUUGGAAUAGGGUAUCAAAGAGGGUGACAAUCCCGUGCUUGACAUGACUCCCGGUGUUCUGUGAUACAUUUUCUACGAGUCGAGUUGUUUGGGAAUGCAGCUCUAAAUGGGUGGUAAAUUCCAUCUAAAGCUAAAUAUUGGUGAGAGACCGAUAGCGAACAAGUACCGUGAGGGAAAGAUGAAAAGAACUUUGAAAAGAGAGUGAA